UACGGAGGGGGCUAGCGUUGUUCGGAAUUACUGGGCGUAAAGCGCACGUAGGCGGCUUUUUAAGUCAGAGGUGAAAGCCCGGGGCUCAACCCCGGAAUUGCCUUUGAGACUGGAUCGCUUGAAUCAUGGAGAGGUCAGUGGAAUUCCGAGUGUAGAGGUGAAAUUCGUAGAUAUUCGGAAGAACACCAGUGGCGAAGGCGGCUGACUGGACAUGUAUUGACGCUGAGGUGCGAAAGCGUGGGGAGCAAACAGG
rnacentral:rRNA from 1 species